rnacentral:rRNA from 1 species
GCUCAACCGGGGAGGGGCAUUGGAAACUGGGGAACUUGAGUGCAGAAGAGGAGAGUGGAAUUCCACGUGUAGCGGUGAAAUGCGUAGAGAUGUGGAGGAACACCAGUGGCGAAGGCGACUCUCUGGUCUGUAACUGACGCUGAGGCGCGAAAGCGUGGGGAGCGAACAGGAUUAGAUACCCUGGUAGUCCACGCCGUAAACGACGAGUGCUAAGUGUUAGAGGGUUUCCGCCCUUUAGUGCUGCAGCAAACGCAUUAAGCACUCCGCCUGGGGAGUACGGUCGCAAGACUGAAACUCAAAGGAAUUGACGGGGGCCCGCACAAGCGGUGGAGCAUGUGGUUUAAUUCGAAGCAACGCGAAAAACCUUACCAGGUCUUGACAUCCUCUGACAACCCUAGAGAUAGGGCUUCCCCUUCGGGGGCAGAGUGACAGGUGGUGCAUGGUUGUCGUCAGCUCGUGUCGUGAGAUGUUGGGUUAAGUCCCGCAACGAGCGCAACCCUUGAUCUUAGUUGCCAGCAUUCAGUUGGGCACUCUAAGGUGACUGCCGGUGACAAACCGGAGGAAGGUGGGGAUGACGUCAAAUCAUCAUGCCCCUUAUGACCUGGGCUACACACGUGCUACAAUGGGCAGAACAAAG